UACGGAGGGUGCAAGCGUUAAUCGGAAUUACUGGGCGUAAAGCGCACGCAGGCGGUUGGAUAAGUUAGAUGUGAAAGCCCCGGGCUCAACCUGGGAAUUUCAUUUAAAACUGUCCAGCUAGAGUCUUGUAGAGGGGGGUAGAAUUCCAGGUGUAGCGGUGAAAUGCGUAGAGAUCUGGAGGAAUACCGGUGGCGAAGGCGGCCCCCUGGACAAAGACUGACGCUCAGGUGCGAAAGCGUGGGGAGCAAACAAG
rnacentral:rRNA from 1 species